rnacentral:rRNA from 1 species
AUGUCAUCAUCGCAUGUGUGUGCGUUAUGCGGAGCAGAUGACAACUGGCGCCAUUCUCUUCUCGACUGUAACUACGCCCGAUGCGUGUGGGCUCUAUCAAAUGAGGAUAUGGUGCAGCAUAUGUGUAUGCAGAGAGACGAACAUGCAAAGAGAUGGCUCUUUCUGAUGAGCGAAUCGCUUCCUCAAAAGGAAUUCACUACCAUGAUUGUCACAUUAUGGGCGAUUUGGGCGGCAAGGAGAAAAAUAAUCCAGUCACCGGCAACUCCAAGGGCUCGCCCUAUUGUUUGGCAGCCACCACCGGAUGAUCAUGUUAAGAUUAAUGUCGAUGCGGCUGUGCCGCGUGCUGGUGGAAGGGGGGCUGUGAGAGCCGUUUGCCGCGAUGCAUCGGGUGUGUAUUUGGGGGCCUCGGCAGUUGUUUUCAACAACAUAGAGGACCCGAAGGUGCUUGAAGUUCUAGCUACCAGGGAAGUGCUGGCGCUUGCCGAGGAUUUGUACGAGCAGAAAGUUUUCAUCGCCUCGGAUUGCGUGGCAGUGGUGGAGGCGAUCAAAGGAGGAACGGCAUCAGCAUAUGGAGCAGUGGUACAUGAAAUAACGGACAGAGCUCGUUUUUUCUCUUCGUGUUCUUUUAGUCAUGAAUUUAGAUCCUCGAACUUUGAGGCUCACAACCUCGCGAAGCAUGCAUUAAUGUUGGGGACCGGCCGCCAUGUCUGGUUAGGCCACCCCGGCGAUCUUUUGUUCGUCCCUGUAAACAUUGUGACGGUUGAAUAA